GAAGGCAAGCGGAUCUCUUAAAGCUGUUCUCAGUUCGGACUGCAGUCUGCAACUCGACUGCACGAAGCUGGAAUCGCUAGUAAUCGCGGAUCAGCACGCCGCGGUGAAUACGUUCCCGGGCCUUGUACACACCGCCCGUCACACCAUGGAAGCCGGGAGUGCCUGAAGUACGCGACCGCAAGGAGCGUCCUAAGGUAAAACCGGUGACUGGGGCUAAGUCGUAACAAGGUACC
rnacentral:rRNA from 1 species